GAUGAACGCUGGCGGCGUGCCUAAUACAUGCAAGUCGAGCGAACAGACGAGGAGCUUGCUCCUCUGACGUUAGCGGCGGACGGGUGAGUAACACGUGGAUAACCUACCUAUAAGACUGGGAUAACUUCGGGAAACCGGAGCUAAUACCGGAUAAUAUAUUGAACCGCAUGGUUCAAUAGUGAAAGACGGUUUUGCUGUCACUUAUAGAUGGAUCCGCCCCGCAUUAGCUAGUUGGUAAGGUAACGGCUUACCAAGGCAACGAUGCGUAGCCGACCUGAGAGGGUGAUCGGCCACACUGGAACUGAGACACGGUCCAGACUCCUAAGGGAGGCAGCAGUAGGGAAUCUUCCGCAAUGGGCGAAAGCCUGACGGAGCAACGCCGCGUGAGUGAUGAAGGUCUUCGGAUCGUAAAACUCUGUUAUUAGGGAAGAACAAAUGUGUAAGUAACUAUGCACGUUUUGACGGUACCUAAUCAGAAAGCCACGGCUAACUACGUG
rnacentral:rRNA from 1 species